ensembl:lncRNA
AUGACAGAUUUUCACGUGUUCGUGCACUUGUUUUAUGUUAUCGUCAGUGGGUUUUUUGUUUUUUUGUUCUGUUUGGCUUUUAAUUACAGAACAGUCUCUAUGUGCGCCGGCGCAUGUUUAAGAGUCUCUGCUAUUAAACUUUCUAUCUCCUUCUUCCCAAGACCAGCUUUCCAUUUCAUGACGGCAUCUGGAAUUAAACAGAGGUCACAGCCGUUACAGUAUGCUGUAGUGGCUCCAUACAUUGUUAGUGGCUACUGCGCGCAUUACCCUCCUUACACACUCCCCUGGACUGGCCCCACUAAUAAGGCUGAGAUGGUGUGUCUGGAAGAAAACACCAUUUGUUGGCAUGCAGGGUCCUUAAGGUGGUUCUCAAGGUCCUCCAAUUCCUCCUUGCACUGA